AUUGAACGCUGGCGGCAGGCCUAACACAUGCAAGUCGGACGGUAGCACAGAGGAGCUUGCUCCUCGGGUGACGAGUGGCGGACGGGUGAGUAAUGUCUGGGGAUCUGCCCGAUAGAGGGGGAUAACCACUGGAAACGGUGGCUAAUACCGCAUAACGUCGCAAGACCAAAGAGGGGGACCUUCGGGCCUCUCACUAUCGGAUGAACCCAGAUGGGAUUAGCUAGUAGGCGGGGUAACGGCCCACCUAGGCGACGAUCCCUAGCUGGUCUGAGAGGAUGACCAGCAACACUGGAACUGAGAAACGGUCCAGACUCCUACGGGAGGCAGCAGUGGGGAAGAUUGCACAAUGGGCGGAAGCCUGAUGCAGCCAUGCCGCGUGUAUGAAGAAGGCCUUCGGGUUGUAAAGUACUUUCAGCGGGGAGGAAGGCGAUGUGGUUAAUAACCGCGUCGAUUGACGUUACCCGCAGAAGAAGCACCGGCUAACUCCGUCCCAGCCGCCGCAGUAA
rnacentral:rRNA from 1 species